GCUGCGCACUUCGGUCUUUUACGUCGGCCUUCGCGAGCGUCUGGGCGGGUGGUAGGAACAAUGGCGCUGUCUUCAGUGGCACAGUGGAGCAGCUCUGAAGAUGCAAAGAUACACGAAAAAACUUCCAGAACAUCUGGGAGAAUAUUUAAUGGAAAAUCGCUUGGUUAAAACCUGACACUUUUAACAGUGAACAGCGUUCUGAGUGUGGACGAGUAGCCAGUGAAGAUAAUGAAUGUCGAAUGUGACUGACUAGCAGCUUCAUUUUGAAUGAGGGUCGCUGUCUGCCCAUUGAUAGAGGCCAGAUUGUCUUGGAAGUUCCAAAGUUGCAACGAUUUCUGGCUAGUGCCACGAGGUUUACUUGACUGUUGUGUGAAAAGCUGAUAAGAAAACCAUCCAGAAAAAAGCUCUUCGUUUUACAAACAUGAAAAUAAAACAUUUAGUUGAAUCCAUGGACAUGAAACCCACAGAUAUAGAGGGUUGGCCCGGUGCAGUGGCUCACGCCUGUAAUCCCAGCACUUUGGGAGGCCAAGGCGGGUGGAUCACCUGAGGUCAGAAGCUUGAGACCAGCCUGGCCAACAUGGUAAAACCCCAUCUCUACUAAUAAUACAAAACAAUUUGCUGGGCAUGGUGGUGCACGCUUGUAAUCCAAGCUACUCCAGAGGCUGAGGCAGAAGAAUCGCUUGAAUCCGAGAGGCAAAGGUUGCAGUGAGCCCAGAUCACACCACUGCUCUCCAACCUGGGCAACAAGAGCAAAACUCCGUCAAAAAAAAAA
rnacentral:lncRNA from 1 species